rnacentral:rRNA from 1 species
UAGAGAAUCUUCGGCAAUGGACGAAAGUCUGACCGAGCAACGCCGCGUGAGUGAAGAAGGUUGUCGGAUCGUAAAACUCUGUUGUUAGAGAAGAACAAGGACGUUAGUAACUGAACGUCCCCUGACGGUAUCUAACCAGAAAGCCACGGCUAACUACGUGCCAGCAGCCGCGGUAAUACGUAGGUGGCAAGCGUUGUCCGGAUUUAUUGGGCGGAAAGCGCACGCAGGCGGUUGAUUGAGUCAGAUGUGAAAUCCCCGGGCUUAACCAGGGAAUUGCAUCUGAUACUGGUCAGCUAGAGUCUUGUAGAGGGGGGUAGAAUUCCAUGUGUAGCGGUGAAAUGCGUAGAGAUGUGGAGGAAUACCGGUGGCGAAGGCGGCCCCCUGGACAAAGACUGACGCUCAGGUGCGAAGGCGUGGGGAGCAAACAGG